rnacentral:lncRNA from 1 species
UUCAGUUGUUGCAUCAAGAAGAAACGGCUAGCCAGUCACCCCAGGGCUGAGUACUUCCCAAGCACUCAGGUCGCACAACAUAACAGCUGUUUGGUACUCUCCAAUCUAACCGAAAACCAUCUCUCCGACACCUAUAUAUAUACAUAGAGACGGCUAAGAAUUUAAAUAUACAUUUAGUUUUUAUUUAUUUAUUUCUUAUUUAUUUCCUAUGGGUUUUACAAUAUUGAAUCUGGGAUUCUUUCCCUUUGGAAUGGUCUCACUUUUUCUUCGAAUAAGGGUCUCCUGGCUCCCACUGGUAGCUACGUCUUUUUCCCCGAUCUGGUACAGGUUUUCUCGAAUCCUUAUGUCCAUGUAAAUGUCCUGACCAGGUUGUUCAGGUUAUAUUGAAUAUUAGAGAAAACAAAAUGUUACUGAAAAUUUUGAACUCAUAAAAGAGUUGUUUGCCGAAC